rnacentral:sRNA from 18 species
GAAGGAGCUAGAGAUUAAGCUUUUCCACAAUGCAAAUUAAUUCAACAAUAUACCUCUUAUUUAAUUAGUAAAAAGCUUAAUAAUAGCCUUCUGAUAAGCAAAUGUUGCAUUUUAGAGGUGAUAUUAUGGCA